rnacentral:rRNA from 1 species
GGAUUAGAUACCCUGGUAGUCCACACCGUAAACGAUGUCUACUAGCUGUGUGUGAAUUUAAUUCGUGCGUAGCGCAGCAAACGCGCUAAGUAGACCGCCUGGGGAGUACGGCCGCAAGGUUAAAACUCAAAUGAAUUGACGGGGGCCCGCACAAGCGGUGGAGCAUGUGGUUUAAUUCGAAGCAACGCGAAGAACCUUACCUGGACUUGACAUCCUGCGAACUUUCUAGAGAUAGAUUGGUGCCUUCGGGAACGCAGAGACAGGUGCUGCAUGGCUGUCGUCAGCUCGUGCCG